UGGGGAAUAUUGGACAAUGGGCGAAAGCCUGAUCCAGCCAUGCCGCGUGAGUGAUGAAGGCCCUAGGGUUGUAAAGCUCUUUCACCGGUGAAGAUAAUGACGGUAACCGGAGAAGAAGCCCCGGCUAACUUCGUGCCAGCAGCCGCGGUAAUACGAAGGGGGCUAGCGUUGUUCGGAAUUACUGGGCGUAAAGCGCACGUAGGCGGAUAUUUAAGUCAGGGGUGAAAUCCCGGGGCUCAACCCCGGAACUGCCUUUGAUACUGGGUAUCUAGAGUAUGGUAGAGGUGAGUGGAAUUCCGAGUGUAGAGGUGAAAUUCGUAGAUAUUCGGAGGAACACCAGUGGCGAAGGCGGCUCACUGGACCAUUACUGACGCUGAGGUGCGAAAAGCGUGGGGAGCAAACAGGAUUAGAUACCCUGGUAGUCCACGCCGUAAACGAUGGAAGCUAGCCGUUGGCAGGUUUACCUGUCGGUGGCGCAGCUAACGCAUUAAGCUUCCCGCCUGGGGAGUACGGUCGCAAGAUUAAAACUCAAAUGAAUUGACGGGGUCAUAGCUGUUUCCU
rnacentral:rRNA from 1 species